AAAUGUAACCUAAAAUAUUGUUGAAACUGGGCAUCAUUCAAACCCUAUGACUACUAAUAAUACAUGAUACACAUGGCUAUAGGUAGCAUACUCAUUAAGAUGGCAGUCCAUGUAACACCUGUAUUCUCAUGAAUAAUCUCACUGAUAACU